UACAGGGGGUGCAACCGUUGCUCGGAAUUGUUGGGCGUAAAGCGCGCGUAGGCGGCUACCUAAGUCGGAUGUGAAAGCCCCUGGCUCAACUGGGGAAGUGCACCCGAAACUGAGUAGCUGGAGUACGAAAGAGGGUCGCGGAAUUCCCGGUGUAGAGGUGAAAUUCGUAGAUAUCGGGAGGAACACCGGUGGCGAAGGCGGCGACCUGGGUCGAUACUGACGCUGAUGCGCGAAAGCGUGGGGAGCAAACGGG
rnacentral:rRNA from 1 species